GACGUAGGGCGCGAGCGUUGUCCGGAUUUAUUGGGCGUAAAGAGCUCGUAGGCGGCUUGUCGCGUCGACCGUGAAAACUCGCAGCUCAACUGCGAGCCUGCGGUCGAUACGGGCAGGCUAGAGUUCGGUAGGGGAGACUGGAAUUCCUGGUGUAGCGGUGAAAUGCGCAGAUAUCAGGAGGAACACCAACGGCGAAGGCAGCUCUCUGGGACGUUACUGACGCUGAGACGCGAAAGCGUGGGGAGCAAACAGG
rnacentral:rRNA from 1 species